GGUGCUCUAAUGGUGUGUAGGGGUGCUACUACGAGGUCCCAUGAAAAAAAAAGCGAAAAAAAAAACUUACUUUCUUGCAAAAUCUUAAAUUUUGAAAUUCUAGGAUUUAUUGUAUAUGAUGCAAGUUGCAUAGAAAAUUAGUUACAUCUAAUCUUCAUAAUCAAAAUUAUUUUGAUUUAAAAUCAUGAAAAUUUAGAUUUGAUCUAAAAUAUUUUAUGAUUUAAUGUA
rnacentral:lncRNA from 1 species